CUCUCUCUCUCUCUCUCUUGCUUUCUCUGAGUGCAUGCUGGGAGCGAGUGGGAAACGCGGAAACGUGAGUGAGUGAGGAGCACUGGCCGCUGUGCCAGGAACGACUGUUCUUUCCAAACUUUUCUAGCUUUUUCUAUCCUUAUAUUUAAUGUACUUUUUUCUCUAGAACAUUAAGGUUUAUUUUUGUUUUGGUUAGUGAAAACAGCACGUAGGGUGUUUUUGUUUGUUUUGUGUGUGGUGUUUCCCGGGCGUCUGCUCCCAGCGUUGUGCUGGUGGUAUGGCUGUCCCUGGUAUGGGUUUUGAACAGCUUACGAGGCGUCAUGGAAUCAAAAUUGCAUCGACUGCCAGCGUAGAAGAUUGUAGUUUGGUUAUUGGAGAAAUUGUAGGGCAUGGUAAUAUUUUAUCAGCGGCCCGCAUGAACAACGCUGUUGUUCUGUUUUUGAGAACCACUGAAAUGGCCAACGAGGUAGUUGAAAGUGGAGUAUCGAUCAAUGGUGUUUUCACAUCUGUCCUUCCACUUUCUACCCCGUCCAAAAGAGUAACCUUGUCGAACGUACCACCAUUCAUUAAAGAUGAGGUUUUAUUACAAACGCUUUCACGGCAUGGUAAAGUAGUGUCGCAGAUCAAGAAGAUUCCAAUUGCGAGUAAAUCUCCGCUUUUAAAACAUGUCAUGUCUUUUAGGCGUUUCGUGUACAUGGUUUUAAAAGAUAACAAAGAUGAAUUAGAUCUGACACUGAAUGUAAAGGCUGAUAACUUUAAUUAUGUUGUUUAUGCAACCACGAACUUUAUGAGAUGUUUUGGUUGCGGUCUAACUGGACAUCUCAUACGCGCUUGUCCCGAUAAACGAGGAAAUUCAGAUGAUGCUUCUGGACAGAGCGAAAACGUUGGUAGGCCUAGUGGUGAUGCAGGGGAGAAGCAGGCUGCCGAGACUGGUGAACCUUGUGCUGGUGAGACGGCAACCAUUUCACCUACUGUCGGUGAGACAGACGACGCAGAUGUUCCUCAGGAACAAGGAAAAAAUACGUCAGAUUCACUAAAUGAGAUGGCAAGUUCGGAGGGAAGUGUUGUGGACAAUGCCGAACGUGAAAGCGCAGAUGUUCUACAAGACAACAAUGUUACAUUAACUGACAAUAGUGAAGUCCAGACAGCAACGGAUGUAAAUCUAAUGGAAAUGGAUGCAAGAAUUUUUAAACUACCCCCAGAGAAGAGAAAACGCUCUCAUGUAAAUAAAAGUGCUAAAAAGAAACUCGUUGACUUAAGCUCGUCUGAUGCCGAGAGUGAGAGUGAUUUCUCAGACUGCAGCAUAACUUGCAGUUUGCAUCAGAGUGGGUAUACUAACCGCACUUACAGCAGUGAUGACGUUAAAACGUUUCUGAAGGAAACAAAGCAUGUGAGAAAUGUACGAAUUGAUGAUUAUUUCCCUGAUGUGGAACAGUUCAUUUCAAAGACGAGGUCAUUUAUGCAUGAGGGCUGUUUUACUGAACAGGAGGUCUACCGUUUGAAAAAAAUGCUGACCAAGCUUAAGGUUCUAUUGAGUAGCAAUGACAAAGCCUAAAUUAUUGUCUUCUGUGAUGGAAGUGUGUGUACAGCUCUUUUUAUUUUUAUUCUUUAUCAUGGGUGAAAUUCGUGUUGCCUCUUUAAACAUAAACGGGGCUAGAGAACAGAAAAAGAGAGCUGUUUUGUUUGAAACGAUAAAACAAAAAAAGUUUGAUAUUGUUUUUGUUCAGGAAACGCAUUCUGAUGCGUUGAAUGCAGUUGACUGGG
ensembl:lncRNA